UACGAAGGGGGCUAGCGUUACUCGGAAUGACUGGGCGUAAAGGGCGCGUAGGCGGCGGACACAGUCAGAUGUGAAAUUCCCGGGCUCAACCUGGGGGCUGCAUUUGAUACGUGUUUGCUUGAGUGGGGAAGAGGGUCGUGGAAUUCCCAGUGUAGAGGUGAAAUUCGUAGAUAUUGGGAAGAACACCGGUGGCGAAGGCGGCGACCUGGUCCUUGACUGACGCUGAGGCGCGAAAGCGUGGGGAGCAAACAGG
rnacentral:rRNA from 1 species